rnacentral:rRNA from 1 species
CUACACAUGCAGUCGAGCGGUAGAGGGAAGCUUGCUUCUCUUGAGAGCGGCGGACGGGUGAGUAAUGCCUAGGAAUCUGCCUAGUGGUGGGGGAUAACGUUCGGAAACGGACGCUAAUACCGCAUACGUCCUACGGGAGAAAGCGGGGGACCUUCGGGCCUCGCGCCAUUAGAUGAGCCUAGGUCGGAUUAGCUAGUUGGUGAGGUAAAGGCUCACCAAGGCGACGAUCCGUAACUGGUCUGAGAGGAUGAUCAGUCACACUGGAACUGAGACACGGUCCAGACUCCUACGGGAGGCAGCAGUGGGGAAUAUUGGACAAUGGGCGAAAGCCUGAUCCAGCCAUGCCGCGUGUGUGAAGAAGGUCUUCGGAUUGUAAAGCACUUUAAGUUGGGAGGAAGGGUAGUAACUUAAUACGUUGCUACUUUGACGUUACCGACAGAAUAAGCACCGGCUAACUUCGUGCCAGCAGCCGCGGUAAUACGAAGGGUGCAAGCGUUAAUCGGAAUUACUGGGCGUAAAGCGCGCGUAGGUGGUUCAGUAAGUUGGAAGUGAAAUCCCCGGGCUCAACCUGGGAACUGCUUUCAAAACUGCUGAGCUAGAGUACGGUAGAGGGUGGUGGAAUUUCCUGUGUAGCGGUGAAAUGCGUAGAUAUAGGAAGGAACACCAGUGGCGAAGGCGACCCACCUGGACUGAUACUGACACUGAGGUGCGAAAGCGUGGGGAGCAACAGGAUUAGAUACCCUGG